CAAGUUAGAGCUUGAAUUUAAGCAUUUCAUUUACAUUGAAAAGAAAUUAAAUUAUAUAAUUAAUUUGG
rnacentral:tRNA from 1 species